UACAGAGGUCUCAAGCGUUGUUCGGAUUCAUUGGGCGUAAAGGGUGCGUAGACGGUUAUGUAAGUCGGGUGUGAAAGCCCCGGGCUCAACCUGGGAAUGCCAUUCGAGACUGCAUAGCUAGGGUGCGGAAGAGGGAAGCGGAAUUUCCGGUGUAGCGGUGAAAUGCGUAGAUAUCGGAAGGAACACCAGUGGCGGAAAGCGGCUUCCUGGUCCAGCACCGACGUCAGGCACGAAAGCGUGGGGAGCAAACAGG
rnacentral:rRNA from 1 species